CACCCACCAGAGAAGAAAAGUGGCGGACGGGUGAGUAACACGUGGGUAACCUGCCCAUAAGUGGGGGAUAACAGCCGGAAACGGCUGCUAAUACCGCAUAAUUCCAGUGAUCUCCUGAUCGUUGGAUGAAAGGUGGCUUCGGCUACCGCUUAUGGAUGGACCCGCGGCGUAUUAGCUAGUUGGUAAGGUAACGGCUUACCAAGGCGAUGAUGCAUAGCCGAGUUGAGAGACUGAUCGGCCACAAUGGAACUGAGACACGGUCCAUACUCC
rnacentral:rRNA from 1 species